UAAAUUGUACAAUACAUUCUAAAUUUUCUGUUCAGAAAUAGUUAAAUUUUGACAUUUUUAAAUUUUUGUCAAAAUUUUUUUAAAAUUUUUCGGCUAAUUGCGAGACUUAUAAGUUAGAUUAAUAAACAAUGGAUGACAAACUCGACGCGGAGAGAGUGAGAGAUGAGGCUCUCAUUAAAAUUAGGAAUAUGCACUACGAAUUGAGAAAAUUUUUGGACACCUAUGACGACUCUGAGGAAAUUGAUGACUCAAAUAAUAGACGCAAAUCACACAUUUUGUCUUACACAGAACGUUAUUCUUUGGAAUAUAGACUAGAUUCACUAAGAAGUAAAAGGAAGUAACUUGUAUGCAAUGAUUGAAGCACUUGAAUUCAAUCUCUGCUAUAUGAUUGUGUGAACAAAACGGAUUUGGUUAGAUUAUAUUUAAAUGGGUUUAUAAAAAGCUUUUACCACGAGUUCUCAAGUACGAUACAUGUCAAAUUAUUUAGGAUCCACUAUUGCUAAACUUAACUAAACGUGUUGCAGUUCUAUAUCACAAAUAUAUACUUGAUUGUAUUUAGUAGAGUGACUAGAGCUAAGUACAAACAUCAUUUUUGUUCAAAUAAAAAAUUCCAGUUUCCUUUUACUGAUGCGCUCUUCUAUAGUAUUGUAAUGGACUUCAAAUGUUCCAGGUAAACACGAUGCUAUUUGUCAUUCCACAGUUUAAAUCAAAACUUCUACAUUUCUCUACCGAAAAGCUCUUUUAAACCAUUGGGAAGGACUUGACAUUUUCCAGUUAAAAUUGAAAUUGCUACCUUCUACCGAUGCGUUCUUUGAUAACAUUAUUGGGCAGUGUUGUAAAACAAAAUCGCAAUAGGUCAGGAAGUUCUGCAAGUUAAUAAUACCCGAAACUAGUUUAUUUAAAGACAAAAGGAAUAAUUACCCUCAAGUUUGAGCUAAUAGAUGAAGUGUUCAAAAAGAUGAUAUCGCUAAACAUUUAAUAAAUCUUUAACCUAUCUAAAAUAAACAUUAAUGCUCAGUGAUAUUUUAAACUUAUUAUAUGAGUUUCGCAAGAAGUCAAAUAACCAAAUUUACAAUAACACUUAAAAUCAAAUACACAAGAAUCAACCUAGGCAAUCGUUCUAAUCAAUAUCUGGUUAUAUUCAAAUUAUUGGCCAUAACUGACAGUUUGUAAACACAUGUCUUCAGCUCUUGUUGCUGCAGAAGAAUAUUGGAAGACAAAACUAUUCAAUAUUUAACAAGCCGAAAAUUACGCAAACUUCAGUUCUUUUUUGAUCAGUUUUAUGAAAGAUGCAUGAAACAAAAGAAUAAACAAUCUGCUUAAAUCUGCUUAAAAUUUACAGUUCAAUUAAUAUUUGUAUUCAAUAAAAUCUCUUAAUAUAAAAACUUUUA